AGAGUUUGAUCAUGGCUCAGGACGAACGCUGGCGGCGUGCCUAACACAUGCAAGUCGAACGAGRUCCAUGCAGUGGCAACACUGCGGAAGAYCUAGUGGCGAACGGGUGAGUAACACGUGAGGAACUUGCCCCGGAGACCGGGAUAACUCUCCGAAAGGAGAGCUAAUACCGGAURYCYYCACCKRGUCGCAUGGCYKGGUGARGAAAUGGAUUCCGCUCCGGGAGAGCCUCGCGGCCUAUCAGCUAGUUGGUGGGGUAACGGCCCACCAAGGCRUCGACGGGUAGCUGGUCUGAGAGGACGAUCAGCCACACUGGGACUGAGACACGGCCCAGACUCCUACGGGAGGCAGCAGUGGGGAAUCUUGCGCAAUGGGCGAAAGCCUGACGCAGCAACGCCGCGUGCGGGAUGAAGGCCCUCGGGUUGUAAACCGCUUUCAGUGGGGACGAACCAAGACGGUACCCACAGAAGAAGCCCCGGCCAACUACGUGCCAGCAGCCGCGGUAACACGUAGGGGGCAAGCGUUGUCCGGAUUUAUUGGGCGUAAAGAGCUCGUAGGUGGUUCGAUAAGUCGGGUGUGAAACCUCCAGGCUCAACCUGGAGACGCCACCCGAUACUGUCGUGACUAGAGUCCAGUAGGGGAGCRUGGAAUUCCUGGUGUAGCGGUGAAAUGCGCAGAUAUCAGGAGGAACACCAGYGGCGAAGGCGGYGCUCUGGGCUGGMACUGACACUGAGGAGCGAAAGCGUGGGGAGCGAACAGGAUUAGAUACCCUGGUAGUCC
rnacentral:rRNA from 1 species